AUGGAGUAAAUAUGGCAAAGCAGGAAAGUGAUUAAAAGUUGUCUUCCCAGUGUGCAAUGGCUGCAAACAGCAGCCUCCUCAAUAGUGUAUGCAGCCUGUUGCCCCAAGGGACCUUGGAAACAGCC
ensembl:snoRNA SNORA70 Small nucleolar RNA SNORA70